rnacentral:rRNA from 1 species
CUGACGCAGCCAUGCCGCGUGCAGGAAGACUGCCCUAUGGGUUGUAAACUGCUUUUAUAUAGGAAGAACUACAGAUACGUGUAUUUGUUUGACGGUACUAUACGAAUAAGGACCGGCUAACUCCGUGCCAGCAGCCGCGGUAAUACGGAGGGUCCAAGCGUUAUCCGGAUUUAUUGGGUUUAAAGGGUCCGUAGGCGGGUCAUUAAGUCAGUGGUGAAAUCCUACAGCUCAACUGUAGAACUGCCAUUGAAACUGAUGACCUUGAAUAUAAUUGAAGUGGGCGGAAUGUGUCAUGUAGCGGUGAAAUGCUUAGAUAUGACACAGAACACCGAUUGCGAAGGCAGCUCACUAAGUUAUUAUUGACGCUGAGGGACGAAAGCGUGGGUAGCGAACAGGAUUAGAUACCCUGGUAGUCCACGCCAUAAACGAUGUAUACUCGUUGCUAGCGAUACACAGUUAGUGACCAAGCGAAAGUAUUAAGUAUACCACCUGGGGAGUACGAUCGCAAGAUUGAAACUCAAAGGAAUUGACGGGGGCCCGCACAAGCGGUGGAGCAUGUGGUUUAAUUCGAUGAUACGCGAGGAACCUUACCUGGGCUUAAAUGCAGAACGACAGACUAUGAAAAUAGUUUUUCUUCGGACGUUUUGCAAGGUGCUGCAUGGUUGUCGUCAGCUCGUGCCGUGAGGUGUUGGGUUAAGUCCCGCAACGAGCGCAACCCCUAUUCUUAGUUGCCAGCGAGUAAUGUCGGGGACUCUAAGGAAACUGCCCGCGCAAGCGUGGAGGAAGGUGGGGACGACGUCAAAUCAUCACGGCCCUUACGUCCAGG